AAAUUGAAGAGUUUGAUCAUGGCUCAGAUUGAACGCUGGCGGCAGGCCUAACACAUGCAAGUCGAACGGUAACAGGAAGCAGCUUGCUGUUUUGCUGACGAGUGGCGGACGGGUGAGUAAUGUCUGGGAAACUGCCUGAUGGAGGGGGAUAACUACUGGAAACGGUGGCUAAUACCGCAUAACGUCGCAAGACCAAAGAGGGGGACCUUCGGGCCUCUUGCCAUCAGAUGUGCCCAGAUGGGAUUAGCUUGUUGGUGAGGUAACGGCUCACCAAGGCGACGAUCCCUAGCUGGUCUGAGAGGAUGACCAGCCACACUGGAACUGAGACACGGUCCAGACUCCUACGGGAGGCAGCAGUGGGGAAUAUUGCACAAUGGGCGCAAGCCUGAUGCAGCCAUGCCGCGUGUAUGAAGAAGGCCUUCGGGUUGUAAAGUACUUUCAGCGGGGAGGAAGGUGUUGUGGUUAAUAACCACAGCAAUUGACGUUAC
rnacentral:rRNA from 1 species